GUAGGAUUGCUCUUUGUUUUAAUAACUUUCUCCUCUUUGAAAUGCCAUUGUUUCUGGUCUGUUUUUAGAUGAUGAAGGAUAGACACUGUGAUGGGCACUAAAGCAUGGACUUGAAGUGUGCACUCUGGUGGCAGCAUAUCCAACAGCUGUGUUGCAACAGAGAAGGAAAUGUGAAAUAUCCCAGGGAUUGGCUGGCUACCUGAAGGACCCCAGUAUCUGCCUUUCAUGGCAAGUGACCUGAGCAUUGAUGUGCCCAUGGUAGCAGUUCAGGUGGGUGUGUUACCUGUAUUUGCAGACUUUUCUUGUUCUCUGCAUUGUACCAGAAACUGCACGUGUCUUGUACAAUCUGUUUAGCCCUCUUGUAAUAUCUGGUUUUCCUAAUAAACAUCUUUUGAAGUCUUUGCUUUGUGGCUGAUUUCCAAGGGUCCAAGUUCCCAUGUGUUAGGUACAUCCUUCUGAUGUAUUCUUUGGAUCAUGCAAGGAGGAGAAGAGAAACUCAUAACUGCUUCCUUUGAAUAAAAACCUUAUUUGAAGCUGCUGUGUCCACACAAGACCUUUGCUGGUAGUUUCUCCGUUUUGAGUAUUUUCUUGGAAUGUCCUGAUGCUUAAGAUCAGACAGAAAACCCUUGUAAGCAAAAUCAAAGAAAUUUCUUAUAAAGAAAAAUUAGUUCUGAAUGUUGGUUUGGAAGAUGAUGGUGAAACAAAUGGGAAGUUGUGAUCUUAGGCUUUUGUUCCUGUGAAGUGCCAAGUCCUGUGGGGAAGCUUCAGCCACAUGAAGGUGAACUACCUUGUGCUUAUAUGAAUACCAAGAGUUUGGCUUCAUCCUGGCUUGCUAGUUGUUAUUUCAAAGGAGGACUGAGAAGAGAGUAGAAUGCACCCAACAGUGUGUUUUCAAUAUUCCUCCAUUUGGUUCUUUCCAGGGAGGAUGGAAGGUAGCCUGUGUGCCCAUGCAGAUCAGGUUUCAAGAAGUGAAAAUUUGUGUGCAUGUGUAUAUUGACUUCAAAAUCCUUUUUUUUUUCCUAUAGCAGUGUUCUGGCAUGUCGUGGAGAUCAGUGUGGCUUUGUUUUUCAGUUCAGCUGGGCAGACAUUACCAGAAUCCCUCAGAAAGACACUGUUUUUUCCUAUGCUUAAUCCUUUUUACGUGCAGCAUUGUACUAAUCUUGCUGAAUAGCAGGAAUGUAGUUACACCUACUACAGAAGUGUAAAUUAAGAAGCUGGCAUGAGGUUAUUUUGCAGACUUGGCCAUGAAAACAGAAUUAGAGUUAAUCCUAUAACAAAUAUGUUUGGCAACUUCAAAAAACAUCCAAAACCAAACAUGUUUGGCAACUUAAAAUCCAAGAGUUUUGAUGUUUGAUUCAGCUCUAAGCCUCCUCAGACAAACAAAGUCUUCUCAAAUGUCUCGUUUUGGCACAUUGUGGUGUCAGUGCUGUGUGUGCAGUCCCUGAGCACAGGCCCUGGUGUGGCCUGCUGGCAGGCAGCUUGCUCCCUGGGAACAGGGUGGUGUGAUGUUGCAUUCAAUCAAAAUUCAGUGAAUGUCUCCUAUUAUGGAAAAAGUUUAUCCUGUAAAUAACCAAGCACAUCACUUUCAUGGGGAGAGAAGAGACACUUUUCAACUAGGACUGGCCUGAAGGAAUCAUUGGCUACAGAUGAGGAGCCAUCCCCAGCCCUGCAAGUCCACUAGAACAGGAAUAAACUUGCUUUAUGUUUGUGUUUGAUUGUGUGAAUUCCUGCUUUUUCCAAAGGCACCUGUGAAUUGGAAAUGAAUCUUGUGUGUAAGUUGUAUUUGUGUGAGACCCCACCUGCAGUGCUGCAUCCCCUUCUGUGAGGUCCCCAGCACAAGGAGGACAAGGAACUGCUGCACAGAGUCCAGAAGAGGCCACUGAGGUGCUCUGAGGGCUGGAGCCCCUCUGUUCUGGAGCCAGGCUGGGAGAGCUGGGGGUGUUCACCUGGGGAAGGAUUGGGGCAGACCUCAGAGCACCUUCCAGUGCCUAAAGGGGCUCCAGGAGAGCUAGAACAGAGUUAACAUUUUCAACAUUUUACUUCUUUUUUUUGCCCCCAACAAUUUAACUUGAUCAGUCAUAGACAAAAUUCUUCAUGGUGUGCAGUUCUUGUGUUUUAAUAAUUAACAAGCAGCUCUUUACAGGUGAUUUUAUUGCCACCUGCUGGAGUUCAAAUAAAAAGUCAGGUUUUUUUUUUAAUAUUUUGGCUGCCUGAAAUGCCCUUGGAUGAGGGCAGGUGCUUUAGGGAUGUACUUUAAGAAAUGCAGGCUAACCUGUCCCUUAUCAAAGCACUCAUUGACUCAUCAUUUUGUUUGUAAAGAUCAAAAGACCAAUAUUUGAAUUUUAUCUUUAUAAGGAAAUCAGAAAAAUUUGGCAGUGGACAGAAUUGGAAAAUAGUGUGCCAAUGUUGGUGCUGUCAGCUGAGGUGGCAGAUGGAGCCUGGGCUGCAGCAUUGGGAAUGGGGACAUCACAGAGACAGGACAGUGCUGGGAAACUGGGACCUCCAGCUCCAGAAACAAAUGUUUCCAGACAACUGCAGCAGCCUUGGUGAUAAUUUUGUGAGAUUUUUGCAUUCCUGGGCCUGCCCUUCAAUCAAGAUGGGCUUUGGAAUGGAACUGGACAACUCUGCAGUAUAAAUUUGUUACUAAUCUAUUCUGAGCCCUGCUGCUCUGAGCUCCACUGGUCAGACUCUGCAAGAGCCAACACUGCUGGCAGCCUGGGUCACUGGGAGUUGGUUGUGUCAGUGCUGAUGAUUUUUGGGUGACUGUGGAAAAUGUGCCUGGAAAGCUCUAGCCACGAUCACUACAAAUUAGCUUCUUGUCCCAUUGUGACUUGGGGGUGUAGCUGGAAAAUGAGUGCAAAGUUUCCUUUGGCAUGGGGGGCUUGGAGGAACCCACUUGCAACUGAUGUAAAUACAUUAACUAAAGGACAGCAGGUGACAAUGAUUAUUUUUGUGUUGAUAAUGGCAUGAACUGUCAGUUGUGAUCCAAUUUAAACAUGUGCCCUGUGCUCACUCCCAGUGCUCCAAAAAUGUAUGCUUGGUUUCUGCCUUAGACUUCACUGUUUCCACUUCUGACUUCUGAUGUUUUUUCCUGUAUUUUCUCUCUAUGCAGCUUCUUUUUCUUUAUGAUGAACUGGAUUUCCUGCAGAGUCUUGCAAAACAUGAAAAAUAAUAAAAGCUCUUUGUCAUGACCUCCCCAGAGCUUUACACACCUCAGGUUUUAGCAGUAGUUACUAGAGACCCCUCUUCCCGUCCCUCAGGGACCGUGUGUCUCCAGAGAUGGGCAGGAUUGGGUGAGGAGGGAACACAGAGGAGGCCACAGAGAUGCUCUGAGGGCUGGAGCACCUGUGCUGUGGAGAUGGGCUGGAAGAGCUGGGGCUGUUCAGCCUGGAGAAGGCUCCAGGGAGCCCUUAGAGCCCCUUCCAAAGCCUAAAGGGGCUCCAGGAGAGCUGAGAGGGACUUUAGACAAGGAUCUGGAGGGACAAGGGGGAAUGGCUUCCCACUGCCAGAGGGCAGGGUUAGAUGGGAUAUUGGAGAGAAAAUUUUCUCUAUGAGGGUGGGCAGGCCCUGGCACAGGGUGCCCAGAGAAGCUG